rnacentral:rRNA from 1 species
UACGUAGGGUGCGAGCGUUAAUCGGAAUUACUGGGCGUAAAGCGUGCGCAGGCGGUUUUGUAAGCCAGAUGUGAAAUCCCCGGGCUUAACCUGGGAAUGGCAUUUGGGACUGCAAGGCUCGAGUGCGGCAGAGGAGACUGGAAUUCCUGGUGUAGCUGUGAAAUGCGUAGAUAUCAGGAGGAACACCGAUGGCGAAGGCAGGUCUCUGGGCUGACACUGACGCUCAUGCACGAAAGCGUGGGGAGCAAACAGG